CAGUCGCCACGGUAAUGCGAAGGGUGCAAGCGUUAAUCGGAAUUACUGGGCGUAAAGCGUGCGUAGGCGGUUUGUUAAGUCUGUUGUGAAAUCCCCGGGCUCAACCUGGGAAUGGCAAUGGAUACUGGCAAGCUAGAGUGUGUCAGAGGAUGGUGGAAUUCCCGGUGUAGCGGUGAAAUGCGUAGAGAUCGGAAGGAACAUCAGUGGCGAAGGCGGCCAUCUGGGACAACACUGACGCUGAGGCACGAAAGCGUGGGGAGCAAACAGGAUUAGAUACCCCCGUAGUCCCUGUCUCUUAUAC
rnacentral:rRNA from 1 species